GUGAUAGUAGCUCAAUGGCGGAGUUCCUGAUUGUGGAUCAGGUGGUUGCGGGUUCGAGCCCCGUCUAUCACC
rnacentral:tRNA from 1 species